rnacentral:rRNA from 1 species
UACGGAAGGGGCGAGCGUUGUUCGGAAUUAUUGGGCGUAAAGCGUGCGCAGGCGGUUGGUUAAGUCUGAUGUGAAAGCCCCGGGCUCAACCUGGGAAUGGCAUUGGAAACUGGCCAGCUGGAGUGUGGCAGAGGGGGGUGGAAUUCCGCGUGUAGCAGUGAAAUGCGUAGAGAUGCGGAGGAACACCGAUGGCGAAGGCAGCCCCCUGGGCCAACACUGACGCUCAGGCACGAAAGCGUGGGGAGCAAACAGG